CAAAUACUCCCCCUCGCUCGAUCUCCAACCAACGGCUCACGUUCGUGUCUCCUCGCCUCCUUCUCUCCUUUUCAGCUCUCUGACCGACGCUUUCUCCCUCCUCGUCUCUCUUCACCCGUGCUGUGACGUUUCUCAUCCUCCUCGCUCUCUCCGCCUCUUCCCUAGCCAAAAUCGAUUUGUCUCCCAUCGAUUUCGUCAUGGCUGCAGCGUGCGCUUUGAUUGUUGCUUAUGUCGCUCUCCCGUGGUUGCAAGUGUCGCCCUCCCAUGGCUCCACCUCUCUCUCUCCCUUCCUCCUCCCACCGCAACCCCUGUCCGUCCAUCCGUAUACCUUCUUCGCCUUCGGUUACUGUAGAUCAUGACCAUGUGAAUGUGCGGCGUCGUCCUGGCUCUUCUCGCGACCUUGCUGCUCCAGGUCGUCUUCCCUAAGUCGGCAGCGGAGGGCCUUGUGCGGGUCGCGGAGAAGGAGCCCGCCGACUAGAUCGACCAUGUCGCCACGCGUCUCCUCCGCGGCGCCAGCGCCCUGGACUCGGGCGGCAACGACGACUUCGACGCUUGCAUCUCAGCUUUGAGCCAUGCUAGCAUAGGAGUUCCUCUACUGCUGAAAACUUUGUUGAUUUUUUAUUCAUAACUGACCGAGAGAGAUUAGUAACCUGGUGAAAAGGUGAUGAGCUCAUGCUACUUGAGAGCAGGCAAGUACUUGGAUUUUUGAAGAACGACAUGUUGUAGAGCUUCUGGUAUGUAGAAUUAUGUACCAUAAUGCUGAUUUAUGCGUGAGCAAGACUCUCUACUUGCAGCUUUCUUCUAUUAAAGAUGACAACCAUUUUGUUUGUUCGUCGAAGUUUCCAUAUCAAAUAGUCUGCUGUUGUGUUCAGGUAGCUA